UGUUGAAAAUUUCAUCCAUUUGUACUAUUAAAACCUAGCGUCGUUGAUAGAAUAACCAAACAAUGACAUGUGGCAUGUUAUGUGUAUUUCAUACUGAUGCACAACGACUAUUUUUUAACAAUAGAAAUGGAUGGAAUAGGAUGACUA
rnacentral:pre_miRNA from 1 species